AAAGGACAUUUGAAGAUACACAUAGAGAAGGUCAUGUGAAGAUGGAGACAGAGAUUAGAGUGGUCAGCUACAAUCCCAGAAUGCCAAGGCUUGCCAGAAUCUGCCAGAAGCUAGGAAGAGGCAAGGGAGCAUUCUUCCCUGAAGCCUUCACAGGGCGUGUGGCCUGUUUUCACACCUCUGUCGCCUCCAGAAAUGUGAGAGCGCUGGGAGCACAGUGUCUGUUGUUUGAAGCCACACCGUCUGUGUUAACUCCUGACGACAGCCCUGGGAAGCUCACACUGGAACCUCAACCUGUGUGAGGUUCCAGGCGCAGAGUGAGAACAUUCUGGCGUUCUUUCGCAACCCCUCCUGCCACGAUGCUUGCGCCUGCUUCCCCAGGGACAUGGUUCAAGGAGUACCUGAGGGCCAAGAAGCCAUGCUUAAAAGCAAAACCAAAACUUCUCAGGAGGCUGGGCUUCGGUCAGUUCCUCACAGCCAGUUUUGGUUUGAAUUACCCUCCUGUUACAAGGAAGCCUGAGCUGGAUGGAGAGGAUAUCUUCUCCUCCCUUGCCUCAAGGACUUUAAGUGAUGGUUUUUCAUGACCCAUCCGUGUAGGUCCCUCUGCCAGCCAGAAGGAGUCCUGCCUUGGAGCUACUGCUUGUUGUAGUGCUCAAGGCAUAACCUACAUUUGUUUUGUUUUGUUUUGGCUGUUUGUUGGCUUCCAGGAGGGGAUCUGAUGCAAGGGCAACUAUUGUAUUUUCCUUUGCGUCUUUCCCUGAGGAGAGGUACCAAGUUCUGCUGCGAGUAUCUAAGAGGCUGAGACUCUCUCCUAUCUUGAGCCGGUGUUGCAGAUGGUGAUGAGGCCGCCACGGUUGGAUCGGGUACAGACCAUGUUCCUCCUUCCGCUAAUUUUGAGCCUGGGAAUGCAGCUUCAUCAGACAGCAGCUUUAUUUACAGUGACGGCCCCUAAGGAACUGUACACAGUGGACUAUGGGAGCAAUGUGACCCUGGAGUGUCGCUUUGACACUGGAGGUCACGUGGAACUCAGAAACUUAAAGGCCAGUUUGCAGAAGAUGGAAAACUAUACAUCCUUGCAGAGUAAAAGAGCCAGCUUGCUGGAAGAGCAGCUGCCCCUGGGGAAGGCCUCAUUCCACAUCCCUCGAGUGCAGCUGACGGACGCGGGCCAGUACCGCUGCCUCAUCAUCUACGGCCUCGCCUGGGACUACAAGUACCUGACUCUGAAAGUCAAAGCUUCCUACAAGAAAAUAAACACUUAUUUACUUAGGAUCCCGGGGGUAGAUGAGGUAGAGCUCACCUGCCAGGCCGAAGGUUAUCCGUUGGCAGAAGUAUACUGGGAAAACAUCAGCGUUCCUGCCAACACCAGCCACAUCAAGACCGCUGAUGGCCUCUACCAGGUCACCAGCAUUCUGCGCCUCAAGCUGCACCCCGGCAGGAACGUCAGCUGUGUGUUCUGGAACGCUAACAUGGACGAACGUACCUCAGCCGUCAUUGAAUAUGGUGGCAAAGAACCUGAAACCUCUUCAAACUGGCUGCUUCCUGUUUUCAUCCCUUCCUUCAUCAUUGUUUUGAUAUUCGCAGCUACAAUGAUAGGCCUAAGAAAACAGCUCUUCCGAAAGCUUCCUUUUAGAAAAGACACAACAAAAAAAUCUGUUGCCGCCACGAGGAGGGAAGUGGACAGAGCUCCUGUGGGGGAAGCAUGGAGUGGAAGCUAGGGAGAGAGCCCAGGGAGCAGUCCGGUGCCUUCCUCCUGGGACCUGAGCCUGGAGAGGAGAAUGAGUCUGAAAGAAACGGUGGAAAUGUCUGGUGCGAUGGAGAACUAGCAAAGGUUUUGAACAGAUUUGAACCUGUGGUUUCAGGAGCUGGGGUGACCUGAUGGGACAUCCUUAAGAAGCUUCUGGACUCUGAACAAGAGAGAGGCAGCACCUGGCCACGUGUGCUCAGAGGAAGCCAGGCACCCCACCCCUCCCAGAUCCAGGCGCUCACCUCCACAGCCUGUGACUCUAAGCAAAGCACGAUAGCACUUUAGGAAAUGGCCACCCUGGAUCGUAGACCCCAAUGAGUGUUCUGAGGCUCCUUCUUGCUGCCAGGCUGAAAACAAAGGGAAUUUCUGCCCCCUGCUUUUCCAGAGUGAUUUCCAGAAGCAGAGAUGAGUGGAAAUUUUCAGUUGCAGAAAUGGACCCAUUGCCAAUAGUUAUUUUUAUCAGCAGUUUCUUCUUGAUUCCAGAAAAGCCUAUUGAGUCCAUGAACUCACAGAACUUUAAACAAAGUCAAGCCAUAAUUGGCGUAUCAUAUGGCUUAGUGGAAUCUGGAAAGAAUCUGAGUCAUUUUAAUUAACAGAAAGCAUUUAAGUACACAGUGGACAACUCUAAUUGUGGAGAAAGGCCAUUGAGUAUUUCUGUGAGAUCUAAAUCACAAAGCAUUUGUUUUAACCUGUAAUGGCACCAUACUAAAUGAUUUUUUUUUAAACUCCAUCUUCCCUUUUAAAAAUGCUGUUUUGUUUUGUUUUUUAACCUCAGAAGCCAAGGGCGUACAUUAAAAAAAACCAAAACGCUAAUAUGCCGUACAUGUAAAGAUUUCAGAUGGGUACCCAUAAUGGUCCAAGCCCCAAUUGAAGGCUCCUUUCCUGGCCCUCUCUCUGACUCUGAACUCCACCUUUCAGUGUCUCUGUCCCUGUCCGUGACACAGUGACACUCACGAGUCAAGACCUUUGAUGGCUGGCACUGUAGAUACCCUGUGGGAGCCCCUUGUAUGUGUCCUCGAGGGGGACGACGGUAACCGCAUGCUGCGACAACCGGUGAAUCCUCUUAAAUUUGGUCUGUGUGCUGCAGUCGGGAAGUUUGGAGCACUAGUUGUCCUAUGACAUACCCAGAUGUGUGCACUGUUGAGCUCAGCAGAGUCCUAGGUUCGCGGCCUAUCUCUCUCUCAGUCUGGAGCCAUGAGGAUUGGGGUGCAUGUGAUCGCUUCCCCUUAGACAGCAAGCUCCUGCAGGGCAAGGAGGGAGCAGAUUUGACUAAUGCUGCAGCGAGCUGCCUCAGGCACGACUGACUCUAAGCCUCCUCCUAAUACGGAAGAGAACGGCUACAUGUAACAUUCUUACUUUCUGUGACCUUAAUAUCAUUGGCUAAAAAGAAGAUAAUGGCAAUCCUUAAAAACAGAAGAACUGGAGGAGUUGUGUGUCUUUAAAAAAGAAAAAAGUACCUUUUACAAAAGAAGCAAAAAUAACAUUUGGGCGAGUUUGAGGAAUUGAGAAAGGCCGAGCAAACAGAAAUCACCGAUGAUCAACACAAGUAUUUUCGUUUUUGCUGUUGGCGUUUGGUCCUUGUCCAGACAUGUACACGAUUUCAGCCAUAGUUGUGAUCGUCUGUCCUUUUUUUUUUUUUUUUUUCCAAAUUUGUCAUUGUACCACGGGUUCCCACCCAUGUGGCUGACUAGUCCUCCUAAGUAUCAUUUUUGAUGAAUGCGUGAGUCACAGAUCAUAAUGAGUGGGGAUUGGGCCCAAACUCUCCUCAUCCUCUGACCGCUAUAAGCCCAUAUUUUGACUAGCGGCCUACAGUGACAUUUAGGGUUCCUAAGGAUUAGUAUCAUUUCAGAGUAGUGUUUAGGAAUCCCUGAAAAGCCUGGGUAUUUCCAUUUCCCCCAGUGCACAGACACCUUCAUAAUGACCUCAGAUCCCUUUGGGGAUGGCUUUGAGGAAGAUCUAUAGUAUGCAGCGUUGUUGCAGGGUCCUUUCUGAGAACUGGGGAAGAAGCUAUGACUCUCAGUUGUGAAAACUCAAGUCAGAUUUCUAUUAUAUAAAUCAAGUGAUGCUUUGGUAGGCUGGCCGUCAACUUCAUUCUUAUUAGGGCCAACCACCACUGAAGAUUCCCUGCAAGUAGAGAAUUCUGAUUACUAUUCUGGGAUCAUAUCCUCUCCACUGAAAGCAGGAAGCCCGUCUCAGGGGCAGCAUCUCCUCCCAGCACCCUUGGCAUGCAGAAAACAGCCACCUGGAAGUGUCCACGGUGGCUGGGGCUACCUCACUAAUGCAUUUCUCAAUGCUUUGGUAAAGAGAAUAUUCCUUGGGCCCUUUGACAGUGAGGAAAGAUGCACAGGUUACAUACGAUAAAUUACUCCAUUAUCCCUAACUCCUUAAGCCUUUAGGAUCCUUCCUGUACAUUAUUCCACAGAAAUUCUAUUAACUCAAUGUCACUGUUGAACACAGCUUUCAGCCAAACAACUAAAUAAACAGACCACUCCCAGCUGCUCGAACUCCUACAUUCAUUUCAGCUUGCUUCCACUGUAUAACAAACCUUACGACUUAUGUUUCUCACUUAUGCUUUUAUGAUUGUGUACAUUAGCAAUUCAAGCUGGGUUCAGCGGGGGCGACUCAUUUCUGCAUCAGCUGGGCCCACUCACACAUUUGCAAUAAGUUGACAGAUUGCUUGGAGAAUGCUGGUCUUAGGAGGCCUCACUCACUUGUCUUGAAGUUGGUGCUGGCUGUGGGCUGAGCCAUGCACCUUCGGGAGGUCUAUCCAUGCUUUUUUUUCAGUAUGGAAGCUGAUCCAAAACAGCAAAAAGAGGGCCAAUCCCAACGUGCAAGUAGUUUUCAGGUUUCUGUUUGCAUCACACUUGCUAAUGUCUCAGUGGCCAAAGCAAGUCAGAUAGCUAGGCCAAAAUCAAUGUGGGAGGGACUUAUGUGAGGGCCUGAUCUACAAAAUGGUAUGAUCCCCUGGGGGCUAUUGCUGUAACAAUCUACCCGAGCAUUAAGUCCAAAAACCUAUGAAGAGCAGAUUAUAUCAGGGUUACCUACAUUUAGCCCCAAUCCAAUGUUGUAUUCUGUUUUCCUUGGUCCAAUAUCCUUAGAGUCCAUCUCAGUGUAGAUUAGUUAGGUUUCUUCUAGUAUAAAUUUAACAAAAUCUUGUAAUUCUUUUGGAGUAAAGCCUUCUCCUCCAGAACAAGACUCUGCCCUUCUCCCCCUGAAUAUGCUGGGAUCUGACUCUAAAUAAAAGCCCAAAGACCAUGAGAGCUGAGAGCAGUGGGGUUUGAAAAGGAUAGGGAUCUCCAUGCAAGGGGACUCUCUCAUCUGUGCUAAUUACAGGUUUCCAAGCAAAGGAAGUCUGGUUUCAUCAAAUAGAAAAUGAGAGGCUUCUUCCAAGGGAAGCUCAGGGAUAUUGAGGCAUUAGGGGCAGUCAAAAUUUUCAGCUUCGUCCAGGUCCGCCCAACAUUCCUGUUCCCAGUCGUCAGGGUCCCAUCCUUCCAAAGACCUGCCUCAGCUUUCCCAUGUGAGACUUGGCCAGUCUGUGACUGUUGGACUUGGGUCUGAUUGUUUAGAUACAUCUGUCCUAUAGCUAAAAGGAAUAAGAGAUGUGUUCAGGGCAGGCUCAGAAGCCCUCUGAUGCGCUGAAGACGAUUUGAGCUUUUGAGCUGUAAGCUCUGGGCCAUUAGUGUGUCUCCAAAACCCUGCGUCCUGCUGACACUCAACCUAGCUUGGACAGCCCCUAGUGUAAUGAAUCCCAGUGCCACUGUAUGCUGACUACCUGGUCCCAUUUUCUGCUGGUCAGGAGUUCAGCUCUGAGUUUGAAGCAAAUCCAGCCCAGCGUCCUGUUUUACAGAGUCUGUUUCCUAGGAUUACUCCUGGUAUCCAGUCCUGUACCAGUCAGGGUCUGCUCAGGAAAGUGGAGUGGAUUUAAUAUUAGGAAUUGGUUAUAAAGAUAUUGGAAGGUAGAAAGAGCAAAACGUAGAUAGCCAAGAAACCCAAAUAUUAGAGCUGCAGACAGCAGCUAACUUUGUGACCUGCUUACCAAAGUGACAAGUGCAGGAACUGGAAACGGGAAGGAAUUCUCCGCCUCCAGCAUUCCCAUGCCCUUGGGCCUCCUAUCUAUUGAACUUCCCGGGAAGUCAGCUGGCAAGGGAAUCUGGUAGAUACAGUUUGCUGAAUUCCAGCCCCUUCCUGGAAGGAAGGUAGGUUUGGAACUGAGAACAGGAGGUAAAGAACCAACCAAUUCCUGAGCCAAAACCUAUCUAGGUAAAGGGAGAUAUAUUCCCUGAGAGAGGAAAGCACAGAGGCAAUGGAUUCCAGUUACAUUGCAGCACAAGGAACGUUCUUAAACUUUGUGGCAUUUGCCCAUAUAACAAGAGCCUAAUAUAUAUUUAUUGAUUAACUGGACAAGAAGAUAGCAAUAGGGAACUGCCUUGGCCAAGAACAUAGAAUAAAAUAAAUUAAUUUUUAAAUGCAUUUUGUAGAAGAAGUUGUAUCAGUUGCAUCAUUUGGUUGCAAGUGAAAGAAAACCUGAUGCAAAUGGGCUUAUAUUAAAAAA